rnacentral:rRNA from 1 species
UCUCCUGGAAACGGGUGGUAAUGCCGGAUGUUCCACAUGAGCGCAUGCGAGUGUGGGAAAGGCUUUUUGCGGCAUGGGAUGGGGUCGCGUCCUAUCAGCUUGUUGGUGGGGUAACGGCCUACCAAGGCGUUGACGGGUAGCCGGCCUGAGAGGGCGACCGGCCACAUUGGGACUGAGAUACGGCCCAGACUCCUACGGGAGGCAGCAGUGGGGAAUAUUGCACAAUGGGCGCAAGCCUGAUGCAGCGACGCCGCGUGCGGGAUGGAGGCCUUCGGGUUGUAAACCGCUUUUGUUCAAGGGCAAGGCACGGUUUCGGCCGUGUUGAGUGGAUUGUUCGAAUAAGCACCGGCUAACUACGUGCCAGCAGCCGCGGUAAUACGUAGGGUGCAAGCGUUAUCCGGAUUUAUUGGGCGUAAAGGGCUCGUAGGCGGUUCGUCGCGUCCGGUGUGAAAGUCCAUCGCUUAACGGUGGAUCCGCGCCGGGUACGGGCGGGCUUGAGUGCGGUAGGGGAGACUGGAAUUCCCGGUGUAACGGUGGAAAUGUGUAGAUAUCGGGAAGAACACCA